rnacentral:rRNA from 1 species
AUCGGCCACACUGGGAUUGAGACACGGCCCAGACUCCUACGGGAGGCAGCAGUAGGGAAUCUUCGGCAAUGGACGAAAGUCUGACCGAGCAACGCCGCGUGAGUGAAGAAGGUUUUCGGAUCGUAAAACUCUGUUGUUAGAGAAGAACAAGGACGUUAGUAACUGAACGUCCCCUGACGGUAUCUAACCAGAAAGCCACGGCUAACUACGUGCCAGCAGCCGCGGUAAUACGUAGGUGGCAAGCGUUGUCCGGAUUUAUUGGGCGUAAAGCGAGCGCAGGCGGUUUCUUAAGUCUGAUGUGAAAGCCCCCGGCUCAACCGGGGAGGGUCAUUGGAAACUGGGAGACUUGAGUGCAGAAGAGGAGAGUGGAAUUCCAUGUGUAGCGGUGAAAUGCGUAGAUAUAUGGAGGAACACCAGUGGCGAAGGCGGCUCUCUGGUCUGUAACUGACGCUGAGGCUCGAAAGCGUGGGGAGCAAACAGGAUUAGAUACCCUGGUAGUCCACGCCG